CACUGUCAACUAUUCCAGCUUGCACCAACCUCAUCAACUUUCCUGAACACUCCUCGACCACUGGAUCCUCAACUCUGUCUCCUCGCCUAGCAUUAGCCUUAUUCACAAUCUCAAUCAAUCAUCUCAUCUUUAAGCCUUUCUGAAAUGGUUAGAAAGGAAUAGCAAGGGUGAGCAACAAUGCUCAGCAAGUAAUAAUAAACAAUGAUAGUUCUGAAAUGAUAUAACAGAAGUUCACGAGUUCAAGAUAUAAGAGGAUUCAACCUGAGUUCAUGAGUUCAUGGUAUUGUAUAGAAUGAUUUACAAUACCUUGCAGCAUUUAAACUGAGAAAUUCAAUCUUUCCAAAGAAUUAUUGAAUUGGACUAUCACAUUUUAAUUAAAACCAAGGUUAGGCAGCUGAUCAGUUCCGCACUAACCCCGAGCAGGCCCCGCCAUGCUCUAUCACUGGAUCCAAGGCACUCAUUGGCCUAACAUGACCACGAAUCUGGUCCACAGGUUUAUAUAAAAACAAUAAUCCAAUUCUCUAAUUCAAUUCAAGAAGCCAAUGUAAAUUAACAGAACAUCAUCAUAAAUAUCAUCAACAACAGAAUAAUUCCAAUUCAAACUUUGAUAAUAAUCUAUUCAUAAAUCAUGAUCCAUCAUUUCAUAAAUCACAGUUCAGGAAAUCCUCAACUAUUCAGUAUCCUCCAUUAUCGGCUAAGCAACUGAAUUUAGCCUGCUAAACCAGCAUGACAAUGGUGGGUUGAAUAAUCAAGAAGAUCCCAAUUCAUUCAAAGCUCUAACUAUCACUGAGCAACACAUGCUUCAAUGACAAUCUGAACUUCGAAUUAAUUUGUAGAACGGACAUUCUUUAGAAACUUGAAGAUUAGAAAGAAUGGGUCAGAAUACUCGCACUUUCGAACAUUGAAAAGAAAGGUAUGAAUACUUGAAACAUAUACCAAAGGAAUGGAUCAGAAUAUUUGCAAUAUAUCCAAGAGAAAGGUUUAGGAUACUUGCCUUAAAUCUGACUCCAGUCUCACAGCUCAUUCUCAUCUUUCCACUUUCACAAUCUAUGCAUCUCAUAAUCUCUAGACCAUCUCU
rnacentral:lncRNA from 1 species